AGGGAAGCCAUGUGAGGAGGACAUCUGAGCAGCCCUGUGGAGAGGCCCCCAGCCAACAGCCAGCAUGAACUUGCUGGGCAUGUGAGUGCACCACCUUGAAAGUAGAGCCUCAACCCCUGGUCAAGCCAUCAGGGAGAGCUCAAGCUGGCCUGUUGGAAGAUGACAGGCCAUAUGCAACAGACGUGAAGUGUCCCAGCUGAUCCCCUUCCAGAACACCCACCUUCCAGAUGACCACAGAUGCAAGGGUGAGCCAGCCAAUAGCUGCUGAGACAUUCCCAGAAAGACAGAACAUCCAGCUGACCCAUGGACUCAUGGGCGAUCAUGGAUAAAUGGAUAUUGUUUCAAGCUACUAGGUUUGGGGUUGGUUUGUUACGCAGCAAUAGCUAACAGCUACACCUCUAUUUUAAGGAGUUGUGAAGAUAAAUUGCAAAGGUACAGAAAAAUGAAUAGCUAUAACAGCUACUAGUGAUUGAGUGCUGGCUCUGCCUGGUACUGUGCUCAGGAUUGGCAUGCAUUAUCUCAAAGAGUUGCACAGGCUAGAAGGGCUGCAGCUGAAGAUUCUAGAAGAGUUCAGGUAUAAUGCCUGGCACAUGGU
rnacentral:lncRNA from 10 species